rnacentral:rRNA from 1 species
AGUACAAUAUGUGGCAGAAAAAUUACAAUUAAAAAAGUAUAAUAACAUGAGAAAAAGGGCCUUAGAGUAGUAAAUGGGGUCGUAAUAGUAUAUUUAAUACCUAAGAGAAAUCAAAAAAAUAAACAACGAAGUGAAUUGAAAUAUCUUAGUAACUUCAGGAAAACAAAUCAAAAGAGAUUCUAUAUACAGUGUGAAUGAAAAUAGAACAAGAGCCAACAAAUAAAAAUAAGUAAAGCGGGCUAGAGCCUGUUUGAAUAAAGGGGAUCCUUCCUCUAAGGCUAAAUAUGGUACAUAAGCGAUAGUGAAAAAGUACUGUGAAGGAAAUAUAUCGAAGAGUAAUUUUAUAAGCAGCUCAAAUAGCAAUUAAAAAAAUAGGAGAGUGUACCUUUUGUAUAAUGGGUCAGCAAGUUAAUAAUAUAUGCGAGCGAAAGCGAAGGAAACCCAAUUAUAAUGUAAUAAGAAGUAUUUAUUAUUAGACCCGAAGGCUAGUGAUAUUACCACAAUCAGAAGUAAAGUUCGAACGGUUUAUCGUUGUAAAGAUAUCCGAUGAAUUGUGGUAAGUGAGUGAAAGACAAUUCUGACUAGUAUAGCUGGUUUUCUGCGAAACCUAUUUAAGUAGGCGGUUCAAAAAUUAUCAAGGAAGGUACAGCAAUGUGAUCAUACUAUUCAGCUAAGAAAUUAACUUAAUAUUAUUGAGGGGAUGUGAAAGUCUUACGAUUAUGUAUUUGUGCUCGAAAGGGCUUUGAUAAAAUUAGAACUAUCAGACAUAGUACGAUAAGGUUGUAUGUCAAAAGGGAAACAGCCCAGAACAAAAGUUAAUAAGGUUCCAAAAUUAUUAUUAAGUGAAAUUAAGGAAGUAUCUAUCGAUCACGACGAGGAAGUAGGCUUAGAGGCGGCCAUCUUUUCAAGAUCUCGUAACAGAGCACUAGUUUAAAUAGGUAGAAGCAUCGAAAAUAUAACGGAUCUAAAAUAAUAUACCGAAACUUUGUCCAUAUAUAAUAGAAUAUAUAUGGGGUAGCAGAACAUAGAGUAAAUUACAUAAAAGAUGCCCUAAGGGCAUUAAUAGUAAGAUAAAUAGCGAGGACUACUUUAGUAAUAACUCUAGUGAUAAUGCUGACAUUAGUAACGAUAAGAGACUGACAAUAAAGUCUCCGCCUUAAGCUUAUGGGAUUAUAUAAUUUAACGGCCUCUAAGUAAAUAUAUUAGUAAAACCUAAUGGAAAAAACGAUGAGUAAAAUAUGCUAAAAAGUCAAAAUAAGACAAUAUAUAGUGUAUAUUGUUCAAGAAAACCAAUUAGCACUCUUCUAACCGUAGGAUGAAAGGGUUAAAAUAAUAUUUUAUGAGAAGACUAUAUCAUAAAAUAAAUUUAACCGCACAAGGGGAGGUAGGACGAUAAAUUCCCCAAAGUUAGAUAGAGAAAAAAAUGAAAUAAACCGUACCUAAAAACUACCACGAGUAAGCUAGUAGAGUAUACGAAGGCGUUUGAGUGAACAAUUAUUAAGGAACUCGGCAAAUUGACUCCGUAACUUAGGGAGAAGGUGGGCCACUGAAUCUUGAUUAAUAUCAAGUAAAGAGGAGGAGGCACAAAAUGGUGUUGUACGACUGUUUAAUUAAAACAAAGCACUUUGCAAAAAAGGAAAUUUGAUGUAUUGAGUGUGAGCUCUGCCAAAUGCUGGCAGGAUAUAGUAUUUUUGCCUUACGAAGACCAAGAGUAGAAAGGAUUUGAUAGAAUCCCCAGUCAAUGGCGGCCUUACCGAUGAGGGUCCUAAGGUAGCGGAAUACCCUGGCCGUUAAAUGCGGUCUUGCAUAAAAUUAGUUUGGGGUAGCUAAUUCAAUUAAUAUUAACUCUAUAAUUGAGAGUUGGCCUUUAGGCAAGGAUCGACUAUUGUGUGUUAGUGCGCAAACUCCGGGAAACCCCUAAAGCUAUUAAUACCAAGCACCGUCCGAAAGUACGGUAGUGGCUCGAUUAAUCACCGUAGGUAUGGUAAUAAGUUAAUAGAUAUACGUGAGUAUAAUGGGAAAUCGCGGAUCUAAAUCAGCAAAAGAACUUGCUGUAAAAGAGCAACGAGCAGACGCCACUUCACGUAUAGGACGUGUACAGUGUGCUCUAGUCACCACGAAAGUGGCGCAAACCUGAACAAAAGUAAGGUUGCUUAAUGAUACGGGGGUAGCCAGAUCUCAACGUAAAAGUAGACAAAGCCCCUAUAGACGGAAUGAUUUAACGAUACAACAGCUGUCUCAAUAAUUGGCUCAGUGAAAUUGGAAUAGCUGUGAAGAUACAGUUUACCUCUAGAUAGACGAGAAGACCCUAUGCAGCUUUACUGCGACUAGUUACAGGGUGUAAUUGAUGGGUUUUAGCGUAUAAGGUAAUAGAUUAAAUGAAAUUGGAACACCUUUACAUGAUUGAUUACAUUUACCACUCUUUAUAAAUAAGGAGAUCAAUUGCUAGGGGGCAGUUUAUGCGGGGCACAGAUCCCAUAAAUAGUAACUGGGAAUAUCUAAAAUUAACCUGGUACACAUCCAGUAUACAAUUUAAUUAUCGUAUAUUGCAUAUAUUGAUUUAUUGAUGUUAACACGUAAUCAGAGAGAUUGAUUAUCAUUCUCCUAAUCCUAUAUAAUUCUAUUUA